AAUGAAACCUUUAGUUUGAUUAAAAGUCGAUUAAUAUUUCUGUUUUUAUUUUUUAUUAAAUAAAUAUUCUAUGUUGGCUCUAAACAGGCAACUUUCUUUCUUGGAAGCAGCACUGGAAGAAGCACUUUACUUUCAUCUUUUAUAUCUUUAUUUACUUUUAUUAUGUUAUUAUUGGCGGAGGCGCGUAAGGCGCGUGUCCGUAUACCGAAUGCUUUGAUCACGUGAUUAUUCAAACCAGGAGACGCGCAAUCUGGAUUAACCGCUGUUCUCCUCAGACGAGUGUUUCGGUGGUAUUAUGAGAUCCCUUUCUUGGUGUGUCUUGAUGUUCUAUAUUGGCUAAAGACAAGAUAUGUCUGCAAAUGCUGGUUCCAUGUCACAUUGCUUAUUCGAGACUAGAUCUACAAAUAACACUGCAGAUUUUGUUACCAUCAACUUGCAUUAUACAACUGACAGACUGAAACGGUUGGACUCAAAAAUCUACAUUUGUGUUCCACUGGAGAAACAAAGUCACCUACAUCUUGGAUGGCCUGGGGACUACCUGACCUGUUCCUGUUAAGAGCUAGUCACUCUUUGUGGAAUGUUCCUGGCCCAUUUUUCCCAAGUUUUUACAAAAGUUUUUUCAAUGACCUCAAAAUUGAUGUGUAAAAAUUAUAAUAAACUUGAAUUUGUUUAAA